AGACCGCCUUGGGAAUGGAGUUGGCCUUUGAAGCUGUCUGUCCCAACUGACGGAGUUGACUUUCAAAAGUCUCUCUUUCUCUUUCUCACUCUCUCUCACUCUCUCACUCUCCCUCGCACGAUCUUCAUUCAGUGUUGGUCCUAGGAGGAUGAGGCAGGCAUCACGAGUUACGAUGAUUAGAAAACCUGCAACCACAGACAGGACCCCCCUCCACUCAUUAGAAGAAU
rnacentral:lncRNA from 1 species